rnacentral:rRNA from 1 species
UACGUAGGGUGCGAGCGUUAAUCGGAAUUACUGGGCGUAAAGCGUGCGCAGGCGGUUUUGUAAGCCAGAUGUGAAAUCCCCGGGCUUAACCUGGGAAUGGCAUUUGGGACUGCAAGGCUUGAGUUUGGCAGAGGAGACUGGAAUUCCUGGUGUAGCAGUGAAAUGCGUAGAGAUCCGGAGGAACACCAGUGGCGAAGGCGACACGCUGGGCCGUACCUGACACUGAUGCGCGACAGCAUGGGGAGCAAACAGG